GGACCCGUAGCUCAGUUGGUAGAGCCCCCGGCUCAUAACCGGAUUGUCGUAGGUUCGAGGCCUGCCGGGUCCACCA
rnacentral:tRNA from 1 species